rnacentral:rRNA from 1 species
UUUUUGUUAUUAGUAUAUUUUAUAUCUUUCUUUUGUAAAAUAUUUAGAUUUUUGAUAGGGUUUGGAAAGGAAUUUAAAAUUUGUUUUUUGAACUGGAUUAGUACCCAGGUAAACAAAGUUUAUUAAUACGGGAGUAAAGUUUUGUUUAAACCGAAAAAAUAUUGACUGACUUUGGAUUUUUCUUUGGAAUAUGUAUUUUUUGGAUGGCCCUCCUUUUUGGUAGAUUUUGUUGGCACAUGUAUGAUUGUUUAGUUUUUGUUUUUUCUUGUGAUGCUUUUCUUUUUGGUUGAAAAACAGAUAGAUAUUUGGCUUAUAAAUUUUGUUUUAUGUAUUACUAUUUUAAAUUUUUUUUGGAUAUUUUUAUUGAAUUUUUUAUUGAAAUUGGAAAAGAAAGUAAUUUUUUUUUAAUGUGGUUGUGAAUUUAAUAAGUGAAGUGGUACAAACCAUCCGUCAA